rnacentral:rRNA from 1 species
CGUUAGCGGCGGACGGGUGAGUAACACGUGGGUAACCUACCUAUAAGACUGGGAUAACUUCGGGAAACCGGAGCUAAUACCGGAUAAUAUUUCGAGCCGCAUGGUUCGAUAGUGAAAGAUGGUUUUGCUAUCACUUAUAGAUGGACCCGCGCCGUAUUAGCUAGUUGGUAAGGUAACGGCUUACCAAGGCGACGAUACGUAGCCGACCUGAGAGGGUGAUCGGCCACACUGGAACUGAGACACGGUCCAGACUCCUACGGGAGGCAGCAGCU